rnacentral:rRNA from 1 species
GUUUGAUUAUGGCUCAGGAUGAACGCUAGCUACAGGCUUAACACAUGCAAGUCGAGGGGCAGCAUGAGGAUGUGCUUGCACAACUUGAUGGCGACCGGCGCACGGGUGAGUAACGCGUAUCCAACCUUCCCUAUACUAGAGAAUAGCCCGGCGAAAGUCGGAUUAAUGCUCUAUGUUCUUCUUUGAUGGCACCUGACGAGAAGCAAAGGUUUACCGGUAUAGGAUGGGGAUGCGUCUGAUUAGGUUGUUGGCGGGGUAACGGCCCACCAAGCCUACGAUCAGUAGGGGUUCUGAGAGGAAGGUCCCCCACAUUGGUACUGAGACACGGACCAAACUCCUACGGGAGGCAGCAGUGAGGAAUAUUGGUCAAUGGGCGAGAGCCUGAACCAGCCAAGUAGCGUGCAGGAUGACUGCCCUAUGGGUUGUAAACUGCUUUUAUAGGGGAAUAAAGUGAGGUAUGCAUACCUUUUUGUAUGUACCCUAUGAAUAAGGACCGGCUAAUUCCGUGCCAGCCGCGGC